AGUGAACGCUGGCGGUAGGCCUAACACAUGCAAGUCGAACGGCAGCACAGUAAGAGCUUGCUCUUACGGGUGGCGAGUGGCGGACGGGUGAGGAAUACAUCGGAAUCUACUUUUUCGUGGGGGAUAACGUAGGGAAACUUACGCUAAUACCGCAUACGACCUACGGGUGAAAGCAGGGGAUCUUCGGACCUUGCGCGAUUGAAUGAGCCGAUGUCGGAUUAGCUAGUUGGCGGGGUAAAGGCCCACCAAGGCGACGAUCCGUAGCUGGUUUGAGAGGAUGAUCGGCCACACUGGAACGGAGCCACGGUCCAGACUCCUACGGGAGGCAGCAGUGGGGAAUAUUGGACAAUGGGGGCAAGCCUGAUCCAGCCAUACCGCGUGGGUGAAGAAGGCCUUCGGGUUGUAAAGCCCUUUUGUUGGGAAAGAACAGCAGCAGGUUAAUACCCCGCUGUUCUGACGGUACCCAAAGAAGAAGCACCGGCUAACUUCGUG
rnacentral:rRNA from 1 species